UACGUAGGUGGCAAGCGUUGUCCGGAUUUACUGGGCGUAAAGAGCGCGCAGGCGGUCGUUCAAGUCGCGUGUGAAAGCCCCCGGCUCAACUGGGGGAGGUCACGCGAUACUGAUCGACUCGAAGGCAGGAGAGGGUAGUGGAAUUCCCGGUGUAGUGGUGAAAUGCGUAGAUAUCCGGAGGAACACCAGUGGCGAAGGCGACACGCUGGGCCGUACCUGACACUGAUGCGCGACAGCAUGGGGAGCAAACAGG
rnacentral:rRNA from 1 species